rnacentral:rRNA from 2 species
UUUGAAAGGGAAACGAUUGAAGUCAGUCGUACCUGCGGGUAAUCAGCCUUUUGGGUGUGAUUAUGUGGAGCGUGAGGAGUUAAACACCCUCAUCUUUGCAUAUUCGUGCACUUUGGGUGUACUUGCUCGUGUGGUAGGUUAACAUCAAUUUUGAUCGUCAUAAAAUGGCUAGAGGAAUGUAGCUUCGAUCUCGUAUUGAAGUGUUAUAGCCUUUGGUAGAUGUGAUGAUUAGGAUUGAGGAUUGCAACGGAUACCCUUCGGGGCUACCUGCCUGAUCUCUGAAAGUUGCUCUGGUGCUGAAAGCUUGCUUAUGGUAUCAAAGUGACGUCAAUAGUG